ACUAGAAUGAACGGUUAAAUGAGGACUUUACUGUCUCUUACAUCCAACCAAUUAACCUGAUCUUUCAGUCCAAAAGCUGAAAUAAACACAUAAGACGAGAAGACCCUGUGGAGCUUCCAAACCAAACACACCAUCCAAUGUUACCUUGGUUUUUAGUUGGGGCAACUUUGGAGUACAAAUCACCCUCCAAUUAUGGAACCACAACUCUAGAUAUACAUAUCAAAAUUAUCCCCAGACCCGUAGUUACUUAACCCAAACUAUCUGAUCCAUGAACCAAGUUACCCCAGGGAUAACAGCGCCAUCCUCUUCUAGAGUUCCUAUCGACAAGAGGGUUUACGACCUCGAUGUUGGAUCAGGACACCCCUAUAGUGCAACCGCUAUAAAAG
rnacentral:rRNA from 1 species